AACGCGAAGAACCUUACCUGGGCUCGAAGCGCAGUGGACCGGGGUAGAAAUAUCCCUUCCUCGCAAGAGGCUGCUGCGGAGGUGCUGCAUGGCUGUCGUCAGCUCGUGUCGUGAGAUGUUGGGUUAAGUCCCGCAACGAGCGCAACCCUUAUCCCUAGUUGCCAUCGGGUCAAGCCGGGCACUCUAGUGAAACCGCCCAGGAUAACUGGGAGGAAGGUGGGGAUGACGUCAAGUCCUCAUGGCCUUUAUGUCCAGGGCUACACACGUGCUACAAUGGUCGGUACAAACCGUCGCAAACCCGCGAGGGGGAGCUAAUCGGAAAAAGCCGGCCUCAGUUCGGAUUGGAGUCUGCAACCCGACUCCAUGAAGCUGGAAUCGCUAGUAAUCGCGGAUCAGAACGCCGCGGUGAAUACGUUCCCGGGCCUUGUACACACCGACUGUAC
rnacentral:rRNA from 1 species